rnacentral:rRNA from 1 species
CUUGCUGUCACUUAUAGAUGGAUCCGCGCUGCAUUAGCUAGUUGGUAAGGUAACGGCUUACCAAGGCAACGAUGCAUAGCCGACCUGAGAGGGUGAUCGGCCACACUGGAACUGAGACACGGUCCAGACUCCUACGGGAGGCAGCAGUAGGGAAUCUUCCGCAAUGGGCGAAAGCCUGACGGAGCAACGCCGCGUGAGUGAUGAAGGUCUUCGGAUCGUAAAACUCUGUUAUUAGGGAAGAACAUAUGUGUAAGUAACUGUGCACAUCUUGACGGUACCUAAUCAGAAAGCCACGGCUAACUACGUGCCAGCAGCCGCGGUAAUACGUAGGUGGCAAGCGUUAUCCGGAAUUAUUGGGCGUAAAGCGCGCGUAGGCGGUUUUUUAAGUCUGAUGUGAAAGCCCACGGCUCAACCGUGGAGGGUCAUUGGAAACUGGAAAACUUGAGUGCAGAAGAGGAAAGUGGAAUUCCAUGUGUAGCGGUGAAAUGCGCAGAGAUAUGGAGGAACACCAGUGGCGAAGGCGACUUUCUGGUCUGUAACUGACGCUGAUGUGCGAAAGCGUGGGGAUCAAACAGGAUUAGAUACCCUGGUAGUCCACGCCGUAAACGAUGAGUGCUAAGUGUUAGGGGGUUUCCGCCCCUUAGUGCUGCAGCUAACGCAUUAAGCACUCCGCCUGGGGAGUACGACCGCAAGGUUGAAACUCAAAGGAAUUGACGGGGACCCGCACAAGCGGUGGAGCAUGUGGUUUAAUUCGAAGCAACGCGAAGAACCUUACCAAAUCUUGACAUCCUUUGACAACUCUAGAGAUAGAGCCUUCCCCUUCGGGGGACAAAGUGACAGGUGGUGCAUGGUUGUCGUCAGCUCGUGUCGUGAGAUGUUGGGUUAAGUCCCGCAACGAGCGCAACCCUUAAGCUUAGUUGCCAUCAUUAAGUUGGGCACUCUAAGUUGACUGCCGGUGACAAACCGGAGGAAGGUGGGGAUGACGUCAAAUCAUCAUGCCCCUUAUGAUUUGGGCUACACACGUGCUACAAUGGACAAUACAAAGGGCAGCGAAACCGCGAGGUCAAGCAAAUCCCAUAAAGUUGUUCUCAGUUCGGAUUGUAGUCUGCAACUCGACUACAUGAAGCUGGAAUCGCUAGUAAUCGUAGAUCAGCAUGCUACGGUGAAUACGUUCCCGGGUCUUGUACACACCGCCCGUCACACCACGAGAGUUUGUAACACCCGAAGCCGGUGGAGUAACCUUUUAGGAGCUAGCCGUCGAAGGUGGGACAAAUGAUUGGGGUGAAGUCGUAACAAGGUAGCCGUAUCGGAAGGUGCGGCUG